rnacentral:piRNA from 1 species
UCGACCUGUUGUUCAAUCGAC